CAUUAGAUGACUGAAACGCAAGUACUGGUCUCUUAAACCAUAUUAUAGUAAAAUCGCAAUUACUUCUAAUGA
rnacentral:tRNA from 1 species